UGUGACAAUAGAGAUGAACAUG
rnacentral:miRNA from 1 species